GUCCCCCCAAAACCCCAGGACUUAGGUUUUCGUUCUCAGUUCUGCUCUUUUUGCCUCUCUCAGUCUCUCUCUUCCGCCGCCUACGACCGACUUCCACAGCCAUGGCACAAGACACGGGCAUGUUUACAGUGCAUCGAACAAUUGGAAGUGUUUUAUGCUGCAAAUGUGGUAUUUCUAUGCAACCAAAUGCUGCCAAUAUGUGUGCCAACUGCUUGAGGUCUGAAGUUGACAUAACAGAAGGUCUCCAGAAGCAUGUUAUCAUAUGUCAUUGCCCUGAAUGUGAUAGCUAUUUGCAGCCUCCGAGGACUUGGCUUAAAGCCCAAUUAGAAUCAAAGGAGCUACUGACAUUCUGUGUGAAGAGGUUGAAGAAUUUGAAUAAAGUUCGUUUAGUACAUGCAGAGUUCAUUUGGACUGAACCUCACUCCAAGAGAAUCAAAGUCAAGCUGAAGGUUCAGAAAGAGGUUCUUCACGGAGCUAUCCUUGAGCAAGCCUACACUGUGGAAUAUGUUAUCCAAGACCAAAUGUGUGAUUCUUGUACGAGGGUUCAGGCUAAUCCCGACCAGUGGGUGGCUGCAGUGCAGCUGCGACAGCAUGUUUCUCACAGGCGGACGUUCUUCUAUUUGGAACAGCUUAUUCUUAAGCAUGAUGCCGCUGCUCGUGCUAUAAGGAUUAAGCAAAUGGAUCAAGGAAUUGAUAUUUUCUUCUCUAAUCGUAGUCAUGCUGUGAAAUUUGUGGAGUUUAUAGGGAAAGUGGUUCCAAUUCGGAGCCGUAAUGACAAACAACUGGUGUCUCAUGAUACCAAGAGUAGCAUUUACAACUAUAAGUAUACUUUUUCAGUUGAAAUUUGCCCAGUUUGCCGUGAGGAUUUGAUUUGUCUUCCGCCAAAAGUUAAAGAUGGUUUGGGGAAUCUUGGGCCACUUGUGAUCUGCACCAAGGUGAGUAAUAACAUUGCUUUACUUGACCCAUUUACUCUCAGGAACUGUUUUCUGGACGCGGAACAGUAUUGGAGGGCGUCUUUUAAGUCCCUACUUUCGAGUAGGCAGCUUGUGGAAUAUAUAGUUCUAGAUGUUGAGAGUGUUUCUUCUGAGGUCAAUAUUGGUGGAUCUAAGUACGCUUUGGCAGAUGCCCAAGUAGCUCGUGUAUCUGAUUUUGGCAAGAAUGAUACAAUUUUCUAUGUACGAACACAUCUGGGGCAUCUUCUUAAUCCUGGGGAUUAUGCACUUGGGUAUGACUUAUAUGCUGCUAAUAGUAAUGAUAAUGAGCUGGACAAGUAUAAAGGUUUUGUUCUCCCAGAUGUGAUACUGGUUAAGAAAAGCUAUGAAGAGAAAUGGCAGAAGAAGCGUGGGAAGCCUCGUUUAUGGAAACUGAAAUCUCUAAAUAUGGAGAUUGAUGACAAUGUAAAGGGUAGAGACCAUGAAGAGAAGAUGAGCUCUGAGUAUGAACAAUUCUUAAGAGAUUUAGAGGAGAAUCCUGAUUUGAGGUUCAACAUAUCUCUUUAUCGCAACAGGGAGUAUCAGCCAUCAGAAAUGGCAUCUGUGACUGAUGGGGAUGAUGCCCCUACUGUCGCAUUGGAGGAAUUGUUGGCUGAUCUUGAUUUAAGUGAAGAGGAAGCUGACAAUGAUAGCAUGAGGGAGUGAGUGGAAUACUUGAACCUGCACGUGGUUUAUUGGAUGCUAAAAUCUCUGAUGAAUUUCGUAAAGCUCAUGGAAUCAGUUUUGUUUAAAGCAAUUAGGUCCGGAGUCUGUUAGAUGUGAUUUUGCUCCCUCAUGUUUCUUACUGUUAUUCACCUUGAAUGCAGACUACAUAAAUACGGUGAUGGCAAUAUCUCUACUUCAGGACACAACCAUCUUUUCCCGAGUAGAAGUGAAGAGACUGUUUCUCAGAGGAAGGAGUGCAUUUUGAAAGGUUCAGUUAGAUUGGCAGACGGAAAACCAAGUUGGAACAAACGAUACUUUAAAAUUUUCGUUUCUUUUAUGGUGUGGAUCUAUUGCAUGUUUAAUUAUUUGUUCAAUAGUUUAUUUAAGUGUUUUCCUAUCAACU